UAAUGAAAAUUUGAAAUUUUCUUUUAUUAAAACAGUUUCCUUUACAAAUUAAGCUAUCAAAAAACUUCCCUUAAGGUACAGCAGGUUAAGAAUCCAGAGGUAUCUCCACAGUGGCUUGAGUCACUGCUGUGGCAUAGCUUCCAUACCUGGCCCAGGAAUGGGCCUGGGGCACGGCCAAAAAAAAAAAAAAAAAAAAAAAAAAAAGUUAAGCUAUUAAAAAUAAAUUCAAAACUUUCUUCAGUCUUGUAGAAUGUCCCUGAAGAAUUAGAUCCUAUUUUCUAAAAGCUAGGAAAUAAAGAAUAACUUCUAAGGCAUUUUCCUCUCUGGCAUAGAUACAUAUCUUAUUACAAGAUAACAAGUCAUUGUCCAUCAAUAAAGAGCUAAUUAAAUAAACCAUGGUGCAUUCUCACAACAUGUUACCAUAAAAAAGAAUGAGAGAAAAAAAAAAGGGGGGGAGUUCCUGCUGUGACGCAACAGGAUUGAAAGCAGUGUUUCUGGAAUGCUGGGACUCAGGUUCCAUCCCCAGCCUGGCACAGUGGGUUAAGGAUCCAGCAUUGCUGCAGCUGCUGCUAGGUUGCAACUGUGGCUGGGAUCUAUUCCCUGGCCUGGGAACUACUUAUGCUGCAGGGUGGCCAAAAAAAAUCUCUAUGUACUUCAUACUAACAAAGGGUGGAGAUAAAAGGAGUUCCCUGGUGGUCUAGCAGUUAAGGAUUUGGUGUUGACACUGCUGUGGCAUAGAUUUGACCCCUGACCCAGGAAUUUCUGCACCACAGGCCUGGCCAAAAAAAAAAAAAGUGGAGAUAAGAAUAUAAAUUUGGGAGUUCUUGCUGUGGCGCAGCUGAAACGAAUCCAACUAGGAACCAUGAGGUUUCAGGUUUGAUCCCUGGCCUUGCUUAAUGGGUUAAGGAUCUAGUGUUGCCAUGAGCUGUGAAGUAGGUUGUAGACAAGGCUUGGAUUUAGUGUUGCUGUAGCUGUGGCUGUGGCUGUGGCGUAGGCCAGCAGCUACAGCUCCAAUUAGACCCUUAGCCUGGGAGCCUCCAUAUGCCCCGGGUGCGUCCCUAAAAAGACCAAAAAUAACUAAGUAAAUAAAGUAAAAAUAAAUUUGCAAUCUCCUGGGAUGGAUCAUGAUGGGGGGAAAAAAAAAGGAAUGGGAGUUCCCAUUGUGGCUCAGUGGGUUAAGAACCCAACUCAUAUCCAUAAGGAUGUGGGUUUGAUCCCUGGCCUCACUCAGUGGAUUAAGGAUCUGGCGUUGCUGGGAGCUGUGGUUUAGGUCACAGACAAGGCUUGGAUCUGGCCAUUGCUGUAGCUGUGGCGUAGGACAGCAGCUACAACUCCCUAGCCUGGUGACUUCUAUAUGUCUCAAGUGCGGUCCUAAAAAGACAAGAAAGAAAAGAAAAAAAAAAAGAUGUGUGUAUAUAUAUACAUAUAUAUGUAUGACUGAGUCACUUUGCUGUACAGCAGAAAUUGGUACAAUGCUGUAAAUCAACUAUUUUAAUUAAAACAUUUUUAAAAAGAAUAUCAACCCUCUAUGACUGUUUUGCAAAUAAUUUUCUCAGUUUUUCAUUUGUUUUACAAUAUUUUAAUUAUGUCUUUGCAGCAUAGAAAACUACCCAAAUUUAGGUAAUCAAAGUUACGAACUUUUUCUCUAUUGUAUCUCCCUUUAAUUUAUGCCUAGGAAGGCUUUCAUUUCUAGAAUCAGUUACGUAUAAACCAACAUUUUAUUUUAGCCCAUUUUAUUGUUAUUUUAAAAGUCAAAUCUUUAAUCCAUAUGGAAGGAAAAUUCAUUGCAAAGAAAAUAAAACUAUAGUUAGUAUAGAAAAUAUAAACUUGUAUUGCUUGACUUGUAUAAAGAACAAUGGAAGGAUAAGUAAGAAAUAUAGGCAAUGGGGGUGAGGUAAGCAGGGUAGAGAGGACAGGGAUGGAGGCAAGAUUUUGCUUUGCAUAUUUCGAAUUACAUAAAUGUGUUAAAAAAUAAAUUUAAAAAUCUUAAUUUUUUGGGAGUUACCAUUGUGGUGCAGUGGAAACUAGUAACCAUGAGGUUGUGAGUUGGAUUCCUGGCCUUGCUCAGUGGGUUAAGGAUCCAGCAUUGCUGUGAGCUGUAGUGUAGGUCCCAGACGCGUCUCAGACCCUGCAGUGCUGUGGCUGUGCCGGCAGCUGUGGCUCCAGUGCGACCCCUUGCCUGGGAACCUCCAUAUGCCUUGAGCGCGGCCCUAAAAAGAAAAGAAAAAAAAAAUCUUAAUUUCUUUGUAAGCAAGAUGUCUACAUUUAUAAACUCAUAGGUCUAGGAAACGUUCAAGUUGAGACAGAUAAAACUGAAAAACAGAUAAUUCUGAAACAAUUUAAUGAAAUUUUGCUAAAGUAGAUUAAAUCGAGUUUUCUUUUUUUUUUUCUUUUUGCUUUAAGAAAGCGAUCAAUCCUUCAGGCCCUGAAAUUUAGAGAGAAAAUGUUAGAACUCAUGAUUAGGCUAGAAUUGGAAAAAUAUCCAGUAUCUUUUAAUAUAAUUAAAAUCACGUAAUAAAUCAUUCUUGGGUUUGUGCAGCCAGAUCACACAAGAUUUGAACUGUUUCAAAGUAAUAAUGCUGGCUGAUGUUAGAAGAAAUUUAAAUUCCUGUGGACUGGGUUUAAAAUUAUUAAAUCUGAAAUUCUUUCUUCGUGCCCUCUGGAAUUCACUGCCCAUCAAAAUUCCUGUAGUCUCAAAUCCUCCUGUUAACAGUCUCUUUACUUUCUUAUUCAAAUGGAAAUCUGCAGCCCUCUUAAACUGUGGCUAUUUUUCCACCUUUCCACUGGGCCAGGAAGGUGACUUCAACUAGAACCCAGAGUUUGCUACCAUAAAGUAACUGUUGCAAACUUUCUUUCCCAAUCCCUGAGCCCUAAGUGAUUAGGUCCAAUUCCUUAGUCUACCUAGAUAUUGGAAUUUCAAAUUUAACUCUGCCAAAAUAGACACUUAUUUUUAUUUAUUUAUUUAUUUUUGCUUUUUAGGGUCACAUGUGUGGCAUAUGGAAGUUCCCAGGCUGGGGGUCGAAUCAGAGUUGCAGCUGCUGGUCUAGUAUCCUCUGGAUACUAGUUGGGCUCAUUACCACUGAGCCACAACAGGAACUCUCUGAAAUAGAGAUCUUGAUUCACCCUUUUCAUCUCUAUAAAAACUUCACUAUCACUUUAAUGCCUCAAAUAAAAAAAUCUAAAAUCAUCUUGAGGAGUUCCUGUCACAGCUCAGUGUGAACAAAUUUGACUAGUAUCCAUGAGGACGCAGGUUCAACCCCUGGCCUCAAUCAGUGGGUUAAGGAUCCGGUGUUGCUGUGAGCUGUGGUGUAGGCUGCAGAUGCAGCUUGGAGGCUGUGGUGUAGGCCGGCAGCUAUAGCUCCUAUUCGACUCCAAGCCCAGGAAACUCCAUAUUCUGUGGGUGUGGCCCUAAAAAGACAAAAAAAAAUAAAUAUAAUAAAAUCACCUUGAUAUUUCUCAUCUUUCAAAUAUCCACAUCAAAUCCAUCAGCAAGUCCUAUAGGACCAGGACCCUUAAUCAAAUGAUAGUAUCACAUUCCCACUGACAUCACUGAUAUCCCACCGUCAAACAUUAUCAACUCUCCCCUGCACACCCUCAGAGCCCUUGUACCAGUCUCAUAAUGGUCUCCACUUUUAAAUCCAAUCCUGGUAUGGUCAAAAGAUUGUUGUGAAGUUCCUGUUGUGGCUCAGUAGUAACGAACCCAACUAGAAUCCAUGAGGACACGGGUUUGAUCCCUGGCUUCACUCAGUGGGUUAAGGAUCCAGUGUUGCUGUGAGCUGCCGUGUAGUUCACAGACACAGCUCAGAUCCCAAGUUGCUGUGGCCAUGGUGUAGGCCGGCAGCUGCAUUUCUGAUUUGACACCUAGCCCGGGAACUUCCAUAUGCUGUACAUGCAUCCAAAAAGCAAAAAGUAAAUAAAUCAAUUAAUUAAAUAAAAUUAAAAAAAGAAAGAUUGUUGGAGUCAGAGUAUCGGAGGGAGUGGAAAGAUAGGCUGUAAUCAGUGAACGAGAUUAAGGAGAGUUUACGAUGAGAGAGUCAUAAAACCAUGGGAGUGGGAGUUCCCAUGGCUCAGCAGAAAGAAAUCGGACUGGUAACCAUGAGAUUGCAGGUUCACUCAGUGGCCUCACUCAGUGGGUCAAGGAUCUGCCGUUGCCGUGAGCUGUGGUGUAGGUUGCAGACACUGCUUGGAUCUGAAGUUGCUAUGGCUGUUGGGUAGGCCAGUGGCUACAGCUCCGAUUCCACCCCCAGCCUAGGAACCUCUAUAUGCCUUGGGUGUGGCCCGAAAAAGCAAACAAUUAAAAAUUAAAAAAACUAAAAUAAAACCAUGGGAGUGAGUAGCUCCAUGGCAACAGAGGGCAAGACCACUGAAUGUGAGUUCAAGGAAGUGAGAGGCCAGAGUGUUGGAUCAUCCAGGUAUGUAUUUCAAGUGAGGAAUUAAGAUAGUAGUGGAGUUGGAGAGUAAGCCAAGAGUUACAAUUUUCAAGAAAUUAAGAGGGAUUUUAGGGGUCAAUAAAUUGACAAUGCAAUGUUGUCAGGAGAUGUUGUCAGGUGACUAAAGACUAAAGGCUCUUGUGGUGUAGGUCAAAGACGCGGCUCAGAUCGCUCAGAUCCUGCGUUGCUGUGGUUCUGGCAUAGGCCGCAGGCCGGCGGCUCCAGCUCUGUUUCGACCCCUAGCCUGGGAAACUCCACAUGCUGCAGGAGCGGCCCAAGAAAAGGCAAAAAGACAACAACAGCAACAACAACAACAACAACAACAACAACAAAAGACUAAAGGCUCUAUGUGUUUAGGAAUGUGGGAGGGAGAUUCACCCAUCUCAUCUCCAGGCUUUACUUCUAUAACAUAUACCAAAUCCAUUUCCUCAUCUCCAUUUUUACUGCUGCCAUCCUAGUCCUUUCUCCCUCUCUCUUUCGUGGAUCCCUGCAAUUGAGCUUCCUAAUUGAUGUCCUUGAUCCUUGAUUACCAACAUUUUACAGCAUCUUUGAUACUACGACUUGUUUUAACCAGAUUCAAUUCACUGAGAAAGAAGGUGACUGAUCCCUGGAAGCUCCCACGUGGCCCAGUGGGCUAAGGCUCUAGCGCUGCCACAACUGUGGUGGAGGUCACAACUGCUGGACAGGUUUGAUCCCUGGCCCAGAAAUUUCUACAUGCUGGCAAGGCCAAAAAAAUUUAUGUAAAUAGUCUAAGUAUUCAAAAUACAAUGUCUUGCCCUUUCUUUCUAAGUGAAUUUGACUUAUAGGUAACUUUUCCCCCCACUAUCAUGGUCAUUUAAAAAAAUUUUUUUAAUAUAGUUGACUUACAAUGUUCCGUCAAUUUCUGCUGUACAGCAAAAUGACCCAGUUAUACAUCUAUCUAUAUCUAUAUAUAUACACACACAUUCUUUUUCUCACAUUAUCCUCCAUCAUGUUCCAUCACAAGUGACUGGAUAUAGUUCUCUGUGCAAUGCAGCGGAAUCUCAUUGUUUAUCCAUUCCAAAUGCAAUAGUUUGUGUCUACUAACCCCAAACUCCCAGGCAAUCCCACUGCCUCCCCCUGCCUUGUCCUAUUUCUGAUCAAUUCAAUCAGGACCUCUGACAGGACAGGCCCUGAGACUGGCAUUUUUUAAAAGUUCCUCCAGGAUUUUAAUGUGCAGUUUUUGAGUGAACUAACCUAGGUCAGUUUACCCAAUAUUAUCUCUUUAUACAUAAUCAGUGUGUUGAGGGGGUCCUAAAUUUAUUUAUUCAGCCUGGACUGAUACCCUUCCAACUAUAUCCUUAUAAAUCCAUGGCUUAUUCAACAUUGCUCCUUGAAUUAAAUCUCUGAUUGAAUGUGAACUCUUAUUUUAGCCCCUCUCCCAUUUUUGCCCCAAAUUUAAUUCUAUCAGCUCCAAGUUCAAAAUAUAUCCAGAAUAUAACGAUUUCUCACCAACUUCACCUCUUCUUCCUGGACCCAAGUCAUCUCUCUCCUGGGUUUUAUUAUAAUAGAUUCUCAACCAAGCUACCACAAGCCUUGAAAAAGCAACUUAGUUUAUGUUUCUCUUCUGUUCAAACCCUUUAAUGGCUUCCCAUCUCACUCAGGGUAAAAGCCAGUCUUUAUAAUGGAUCUGAUUGGGUCUUUCACAGCCUCUCUGACUUCAGCUCCUUCUACUAUCUCCUUAAUUUGCCGUCACCCAGUCAUACUGGCCUCUUUCCUCUAAUAUGACGAGCAUGUUCUGCCUUAGGGCCUUUACAGGCCCACUGCCAGGGAAGUUUUCUUAAGUAUCCUUACAGCUAACUCCCUCACUUCCUUAAGACUAAAGUUCAAAUGUCACCUUAUCAAUGAAAUCUUCCCCAGAAACUGUAAAUAAAAAUAGUAUUCAGGGAGUUCCCUUUGUGACUCAGCGGUUAACGAACCCAACUAGGAUCCAUGAGGAUGUGGGUUCAAUCCCUGGCCUUGCUCAGUGGGUUAAGGAUCUGGCAUUGCCACGAGCUCUGUGGAGUAGGUCUCAGACUCAGCUUGGAUCCCGCGUUGCUGUGGCUCUAGCGUAGGCCAGCAGCUGUAGCUCUGAUUUGACCCUAGCCUGGAAACUUCUGUAUGCCACAGAUAAGGCCCUAAAAAGCAAAAAAAAAAAAAAUUAUUCAACCCCAAGACUGCCUUAUCCCUCUUCUUUCUCUUCAGAGCACAUAUUACCAUCUGUUAUACUGUAUAUUUACCUGUUUGUUUACCUUCUGUCUUCUCCACUAGGAUGUAAGUUCUGUGAAGGCAUAGAUUUCGCUUUGUUUAUGACUAUAUCCCUAGCCCUGCAAAAUGCCUGACACAUAGUGAGUCCAUAAUACAUAUCUGUUGAAUGAAUGAUUUUCUUAUUUUCUCCGCUAUCUUUAAUUUUCUCCACUAUCUUUUUUCCCACACAAAUGGAUAAACUCACCCAGUUUCUCUGCUUACUACACCACUGCAAUAAUACAAGCAAACUGAAGCACAUUUUUAAAUGUGCUAACUGAGGAGUGCCCCCUGUGGCACAAUGGGAGCAGUGGUGUCUCUGGUGUGCUAGAACUCAGGUUCAAUCCGGCAAGGCACAGCAAGUUAAAGGAUCCAGUGUUGCCACAGCUGUGUAACAGGUCACAACUGUGGCUUGGAUCUGAUCCCUGGCCGGGGAACCCCAUAUGCUGCAGGGUGGCCAAAAAUUAAAAAAAAGCUAAUUGACAUAGAAGGGUUUGACAGUAGGUAUGCUGAAAAAAAAAUGUAUUAUGUAUGUAUACAUACAGGUAUGUACAUAUAUACCAUAUAUAACCAUGCUGCUGUACCACGGAACAAUCUAGUUUAGGAACUGAUCCAAAUCCCCUCAUUUUUUUCUUCUCAGAGUACCAGCAAUCAUCAAUUCUAAUGGUAUUAAUAGCCUCAUGACAGGGGUACUGCCUUCUGCAGACCCUGAAAAGUAUUUCCCUGGCAUCAACUACUCUGUACAUUCAAAACUAGUUACAAUAGACUACACAGAUCUGUAUUCAGUUAGUUGUGAACAAUAAGAAUGGCCUUAAAAAUAUUACAGUUCAUACACUCUCAAUCCACCUCCUCCCCAUUUCAACCACAUACAGCUACACAAGUAUACUAAAUUAAAAAGAAAAAAAAAGAAAUUGAACAAUAAUAUAAGUAUAGGAGAAAUCUGAAAUCACUCCAACUUCAAACUUUAAAUCAUUUGCCUAGCAAGAGCAGCCCACAGAUGCACUGUGACUCAGCAUUUUAUGGUGCCUAAGACAUGAAAUGAGAUAAAGGUCUCGUUCCUUCAUGGCAUUAGCUAAAUCUGGAGCUAAAAUAAAUGAACUACCUUAAAAACACAAAGUCAGUGGCUGAAAUGUUAGAGUGCUCACACUAACACUGACUCAAUAUAUGAUGACAGGGAGGAGAGCAUGUGUCAGUUGAAGCACAUAGAACUGUUCUGAAAUAACUUCUCGACCUAUAACAUUAGCAAAUGACAAUGCUGACUACAAUUAACACUCAGAAACAGAAAAAAUAUUGUAAAUAAAUGAAAACUAUAAAAGUAUGAACUGUGGUGACUGAUUCAGAGUCAGGUAAAAAAAUAACUUAGAGCAAAGGAGGGAAUUUACCCAGGUAUUCUUCACGAGAAAACAGAAGCUAAAAUUGAACCAAGGGAAAACCCUUG
rnacentral:lncRNA from 1 species